UGUUGCUGAUAUAAUAAACUACUUAAUGUCUUAAAACCAUCAAAAUACACUCUUAUAGUUCUGCAGGUCACAUGUCCAAGAUCAUUUCACUGGGCUGAAAUCAAGUUGUCCACAAGGUUGGUUCCUGCUAGAGGUUCUGAUGGGAGACUCCUUGCCUUUUUCAGUGUCUUGAGUAUGUCUGUAUUGGCUUGUGCCCAACUCUUACCCUCUCCAAGUCACAGCAUUCCAAUCACCUUGCCUUCUCCUCCACCUAUGACUCCUCAUGGGUACCUUUCAUAAGGACAAUUGUGACUAUACUGAUCCUCUCAAUUAGUCUAGGAUAGUUUCUCAAGCCAAUUUUCUUAAAUAUACUUGUGAAGUUCUUUAAGACAUGUAAUAUAAUAUUUAUAGAUUUCAGGGUUAGAAAGUAGACAUAUUUUGAGGUGGCAUUAUUCAACAUGUAUAAACUUCUCCAUUUUAUGUAGAAGAGUUUGUGCUGGCUGGGGCUAAAGCCAUAUUCUAACUGUCACAAGCUAGUGACAGAACUGGCUGAUAUACUAUUGUCUACCAGUUUUCUUCCAAAUACAGCAUGAUACCAGAUUUUCAGGUUUUCCACAAGGAACUGGUACUCUUUAAAGGAAGGAAGAGCUGCUCUCACCUGAGCCUGGGAUUUGGCGGAAGUAUCCACAGGGGCAGGGCUGAGGAAUUCUUCUUCAUUGAAUGGUGAAGACAUUGGACAGAAGAGAAGAAAAUAAGAAGUAUAUAAGAAAAAAAAUCAAGAAAGAACACAGAGAAGUAAAGGAAAUGUCAUAGUCAAGUGUGGGCUGAUGCCAGUGAUGAUAAUGGGCCAAUUUCGGGAGGGACAUACUAACAAUGAUCAAAAAUAAAUGAAGUCUUCUGAGGUAAGAUGGCAUAAAUUUUCCUUUUCCCAUGCCAUAACUGGGAAGACUAAGGACAACAACAGAAAGAAAAACCAUGUUCAGAGAAAAGAGGAGUAACGUCAGGACUCAAGAACAGUGAUAGGGGCUGGAAGGACGGCUGAGAG